CGGCGCCGAUUCUCCACCGGCGCCUCACGGGGCUUUCCUCCCCGCGCCGCUUCACUGGCGCUGCCGCCUGCACCCCCGCCGGCGUAGAGCUGUAGCGAGCCUGGGGGUGGGGGGCAGCUACGCUAAAGUGUGUUGUCUACAAGUCACUGAAAUGCUCCUCUCUAGGAUGCACCUGUCCUGCAGCGCCAACCUACUAACACCACCUUACUGAGAUGAGAGGGGUAGAAGUUUUUGCAGUAACGUUAUAUUGACAAAGGAGGUCGAUCGGAAAUGUUGCUGCCUAUCUCUCUGAUGUGCUGCUUCCACCACCAAGGAAUCUGGAGUGGAAUGGGUGAAAAGGAAUUCUGAACCCCUGGAUGUUUCCCCAGACGUUGUAAGAUGUCAUCCAGAAGAACAGCAAUUGUUCUUUUGAGGUCAGCUGAAGAAGACAAAACAAAGAAAGUAGCAUUAAAUUAGGACUUCAGGAAGAAAGAGAUCAGCGGGAACAUAUCAGUUAUUAGAAAUCAAAUAUUCAGCUUUUGAGGAUGUGAAGCAGUACCAGCCAUACAUCUUUAAAGAGAACUCUGGAGGUCAAG